AAUAACAGAUCCUCUGCCAAUAACAUUGAGCAUACUAUCGAGGCAUAUGGAGAGAAUAUAAGGCAUCGCAAAAAUCAGAUUACCACUUAUGCAGUUUCAUCUAAAAUGAGAGCUGUAUUGAGAAACAAAAAUGAAGUUGAGAAAAAAAACUACGAGAUCUCAUAAAAAUCUACAAUCAGAACCAUCCGGAUUUGUCUGAAGCAGAUGUUUUAACUGGCAUCCUUCCAUGGCACAAUUUAUUGCUUCAUCAAAACACAAGUGUGUCCCUGACUGAAAAAAGAAGUGCAGUGGAAAAGUUUGAGCUCCAGAAGAGAUGUAGAGAGGAGGAAUCACUAACCAUUCAAGACAUGAUAACAUGGUUACAGUACUACAAAAAGAAAAGGGACAAACUAUCCGAGUAUAUUCAAGAAUUACAAUGUGAUUCUUUCCCUUCAUGUCUCUGCAAGGAUUCUAACACGUACACCAUUGAAAACCCAAUUCUGUCAGAAGAAGAGAAACGUGGAUUAUUGGCUCCUCUCAAUCAGGGUCAAAA